UGAGCUAAACAGAUAUCGCCCACCCGCAGCAAUACACCCGAAGGGCCCUGCAUACUUAUUACUACUAGGUGACAUCUUUUCAGGAAAAUUCUCUUGCUUUCUGCCCUGUUCAUAAUCACUUCUGAUUCUGGAAAGUACAUUUAACAGAAGAACCAGUUGGGAUUUUGGGGAGAAAUUUUGGGAGCAUAAAGGGAAUAUACUCCCUUUUCUGAUCGGUAAAGAUCUUGUACGUCUGAAUAACUAUGACCCACAGAUUGUCCCUACUGAUAAACUCAACCAUACACCACAUGGAAACCAGAAAAGACUUUCCCGCCAUCUUUUAGGGCCUCAGUUCUACUCUACAAAACCAACAUAGCACGAUGAUUUGUAUUUGUCCUUUGAUACAUUUUAUCUCAACUGAUAGAAUUGUACAAAAAAAAGGGGGAAAAAAAAAAAACCUAUUUCCGUGAAGAAAUGCAUGUAUAGUGAGUAUGAAUCGUUUUCCAGGGCUAUCUCAUUGGAUACCAACUGAAAUAGGGAAAUCUAUCUCUUCGACAGUGUGCGAAUGUGUAAUGGUGGGACAAGCACUGAAGAUGGGGUUGGAGCACCCUUUCAAGAAACACCUGUCACCUCCGUGUGAACUUUGGCGUACCGUGAAUUCUUCAAUUUAGGGACGUCCCUUACUGUUUUCCCCUGCCCUUUGACCUUGGCUCUGCUGAAUCCGUCAGUGCUGGAUGCACCUGCACAGAUGACACAAGACAGUCUCCUGCGGAAUGAUGGCCUGGGAACAAGUCUCGAAAUCACAGAGCUGAUUGUAGGUUAUUGGACUUUUUUUCAAUGUGGAAUUUGCUAUUAACGAAACCAAGGAAACAAACAUUAUUCAGUAAAAAAGAAAGAAAAAUGGCUUUAUCUUCAAUCAUGGAAAAUGCCAAUUUUUAAGGGAAUGCAGUUAUAUGAACAAGGAUCACAGCAUCAAUAGGUAAUAGGGAACGGAGCAGGCCACUAGCCUUGGGUUCAAACUUGUGUGCCGCUAUGAAAGUCAGUUCGUUUUAAAAUUAUUAACAGUUCAUUUUUCUACCAGCCCUCAAAAACUAGACUGCAGGUAAACUUUAUAGCAUUUUUUAAAGAAAAUAUAUCAUGGCUUUAAAAAAGAAUCUGGAUUCUCAGGUCAGCAGUAAAGAAAUUACAUCUGAAGUGAGACCCAUGUGGAGGUCACUAGCAAUUCUCCUAGAUGUUUUUCCUAAAA